rnacentral:ncRNA from 1 species
AAAAGGUUUGGUCCCAGCCUUUCUAUUGGCUGCUAGCAAAACUACACAUGCAAGUAUCCGCAUUCCAGUGAGAAUGCCCUAUAAAUCACCCCAGUGAUGAAAAGGAGCAGGUAUCAAGCACACAACCAAGUAGCUCAUAACACCUUGCUCAACCACACCCCCACGGGAAACAGCAGUGAUAAAAAUUAAGCAAUAAACGAAAGUUUGACUAAGUUAUGUUUACUCAGGGUUGGUAAAUUUCGUGCCAGCCACCGCGGUCAUACGAUUAACCCUAGCCAAUAGACCCACGGCGUAAAGCGUGUUUAAGAUAACUAAAUAAUAAAGUUGAACUUUAGCUAUGCCGUAAAAAGCCACAGCUACCGUAAAUUCCACUACGAAAGUGACUUUAAAUAAUCUGAAUACACGAUAGCUAAGACCCAAACUGGGAUUAGAUACCCCACUAUGCUUAGCCCUAAACCUAAAGAAUCCAUAUAACAAGAUUCUUCGCCAGAGUACUACUAGCCAAAGCUUAAAACUCAAAGGACUUGGCGGUGCUUCACAUCCCUCUAGAGGAGCCUGUUCUAUAAUCGAUAAACCCCGAUAAACCUCACCAACCCUUGCCAACUCAGCCUAUAUACCGCCAUCUUCAGCAAACCCUAAAAAGGACUUACAGUAAGCCCAAUUACAGUACGUAAAAACGUUAGGUCAAGGUGUAGCCCAUGGGUUGGGAAGAAAUGGGCUACAUUUCCUACUAACAGGACAAAAUUCACUCCAUAGACGAAAAUCCUCGUGAAAUCGAGGAUCAAAGGUGGAUUUAGCAGUAAACUAAGAAUAGAGCGCUUAGUUGAAUAAGGCCAUGAAGCACGCACACACCGCCCGUCACCCUCCUCAAAUAUCAAUAGUAUACUUAACCCUAUUCCCACACACUAUAACUACUAGAGGAGACAAGUCGUAACAAGGUAAGCGUACUGGAAAGUGCGCUUGGAUAACC